CCCUUAGAUGUUCUGGGCUGCACGCGCGCUACACUGACGCACGCAACAGGUGCCUGCUCCGAGAGGACUGGGUAAUCAUUUGAGUGUGCGUCGUGAUGGGGAUAGAAUAUUUUAAUUAUUACUCUUCAACGAGGAAUUCCUAGUAAGCGCCAGUCAGCAGCUUGCGCUGAUUACGUCCCUGCCCUUUGUACACACCGCCCGUCGCUCCUACCGAUGGGUGAUCCGGUGAAUGAUUCGGACUUCAGCGGCUCCCCUGGGGUGCGCCGGAGAAAGUUUUGUGAACCUUAUCACUUGGAGGAAGGAGAAGUCGUAACA
rnacentral:rRNA from 1 species